GGUUUGAUUUGUUCAUUCCUGGGUUUGUUCAUUCCAGGUUUGGUUUAGCCAUUCCUGGUUUUGUUCAUUCCUGGGUUUGGGUUGUUUUUUCUUGGCUUUGUCACUCUUCAGCUUCCCAUUCCCAGGCUUGGUUUGGGCAUUCCUGGUUUUAUUUUUGGGCUUGCCCAUUCCCAGAUUCGCCAUCCUUGGGUUUACUUUGGCCAUUCCUGGUUUCGCCCAUUCUUGGGUUUGUUCAUUUCUACAUUUGCCAUCCCUGGGUUUGGUUUGCUCAUUCCUGGUUUUGUUCAUUUCCAGGUUUGACUUGGUCAUUCCUGGUUUGCUCAUUCCUGCUUUUGUUCAUUCUUGGGUUUGCCCAGGCCAUUCCUGGUUUUGAUUUGCCCAUUCCUGGUGUGGUCAUUCCUAUGUUUGCCCAUGCCUGGGUUUGGUUUGAUUUGCCCAUUCCAGGUUUGCUCAUUCCUGGGUUUGGUUUGUUCAUUCCUAGGUCUGGUUUGGUGAUUCCUGGGUUUGAUUUGCCCAUUCUUGGGCUUGGUUUGCCCAUUCCAGGUUUGCUCAUUCCUGGGUUUGGUUUGUUCAUUCCUAGGUCUGGUUUGGUGAUUCCUGGGUUUGAUUUGCCCAUUCCUGGGCUUGGUUUGCCAAUUCCAGGUUUGCUCAUUCCUGGGUUUGGUUUGAUUUGCCCAUUCCAGGUUUGCUCAUUCCUGGGUCUGAUUUGCCUAUUCCAGGCUUUGCUUUGCCCACUCCUGGGUUUGCAGGGCCCUGUGCAGGCUCAGUCUGUCCCCCCCUGGGCCGGGGUCUCUCCUAACCCUGCCCAGGGUGAUGAAGGGGUGGGCUCCCUGACUGACCCCCACACCCAAACCCCCAGCCCAAAUGGGGCCUGAGCUCAUUUUCCAGGAGUUUGAGGUUCCCAAGCCUCCCCCAGCAGAGGGAGGGAGGGAGGUGAGCACAGAGGGAUCACAUUCCCUGCACAUUCCUGCAAAGCCUUUCCCCGUGACUGGGGCUGAAGGUCAAACCCUCCUCCUCCUCCUCCUCAGGGACAAUGUGGGGGUGGCUCCAGUGACCCUGAAUCCACACCCAGGAACACCCCAAGUGAAUUUUCACCACCAAAGCUCCCGUUUGUUUAACACCUUCCAUAUUUAAUUUAUUUAGAGAUUUCUCUACAUUAAAGUGUUUUCAUGCCAAGGCUUCUGCCCUCCCAUCCUGACCUCAGGAAAAAGAGACUGGACACAGCUUUGGGUGGAAUGCACUGGAAUCAGGUCGCUGCUGCAGCCACAGAGAACACGGGACAAACCAGAGAACUGCACAGGGGACGUCAGGGAAAGCUGGAAUUUGCACAUUCCAGUCAUGUUAGCACCUUCCCAGACACUGCAGGGAGGUGCAACAUGCUCUGCUGAGCCAGCCCAGGGCUCAGACUACAGGAAAGCCUGGAAAAAGCAAGGAAUUGAUGGAAUUGUGCCAGCAGCAGCAGCAGCAGGCCCAGAGCCUCGGCUGAACCCGUUGGAAAAGGAACAACACGGAAUUGCCCAGCCAGGACUGCAGAGUUUGGGAAUGCUGAGGCAAAUCUGUGCCUGGAGUGCAAACCACAACAGCUCCAGCCAUGGCACACCUGGAGCAGGUUGGAAAUAUCCCUUCUCACAUUAACAGCUGCCUUUUCUAUCAACUCCUGUUGCCUUGUGUGUGCAGGCCAUGGUUUAAAAGCUGAGCUCACACCAGCAGACCUAGGCCAGGUUUUAGGUUGGUUUUCAGCUCUCAGGAUUCCCCUCAGCAGCAGCACAAAGCCUUGAGCCACCAACAGCUGUGGUGACAAUUCUGAGCCCAAACUGAGCUGCUGGUUCUGUUUGGCAUCUCCAGAAUCCAACCAAAAGAGGGCGAAGGAGGAAAUUUACUCUGCAAACUUCAAUUUAAAACCUGCAGUUCAAUAAUUAAGCUUUACCCUGCGAGUUUCAGGUAGCACCUCACUGGCUUUUGUCCUCUGAAAGGACAAGGACUUUGCCACCUUUGCUGGAAGUGUCACUUCCACAUCCUUUCAGAAUGUGCAGCCCUGGUUAAAAAUCUGCAUUUUUCACCAAGGAACGUUGUCACAUUUGUUGCCACCAAGGAAUGCAAGUCACAUUUCUUCUUUUAUGUUUUCUAACCCACAGUUUCAAAGUGAAGAUUUGCAAUUUCUGGUCACACUCAGAGCCUUGAGAACCCCACAAAAAGCUCAUUUCAAAGCCCAAACCUCACGGUGGCUAUUGCACAUUUUCACAGCAUCCUCCUGGAGAUGCAGCCUGU